CCUACGGGAGGCAGCAGUCGAGAAUUAUUCACAAUGGGGGAAACCCUGAUGGUGCGACGCCGCGUGGGGGAAUGAAGGUCUUCGGAUUGUAAACCCCUGUCAUGUGGGAGCAAAUUAAAAAGAUAGUACCACAAGAGGAAGAGACGGCUAACUCUGUGCCAGCAGCCGCGGUAAUACAGAGGUCUCAAGCGUUGUUCGGAAUCACUGGGCGUAAAGCGUGCGUAGGCUGUUUCGUAAGUCGUGUGUGAAAGGCGCGGGCUCAACCCGCGGACGGCACAUGAUACUGCGAGACUAGAGUAAUGGAGGGGGAACCGGAAUUCUCGGUGUAGCAGUGAAAUGCGUAGAUAUCGAGAGGAACACUCGUGGCGAAGGCGGGUUGCUGGACAUUAACUGACGCUGAGGCACGAAGGCCAGGGGAGCGAAAGGGAUUAGAUACCCGUGUAGUC
rnacentral:rRNA from 1 species